GGUAGAUCCGUAACUGGUCUGAGAGGAUGAUCAGUCACAAGAGAAUUGAGACACGCUCCAGAAUUGUACGGGAGGCAGCAGUGGGGAAUAUUGGACAAGUGGGGAAUACUUGAUCCAGCCACCCCGCGUGUGUGAAGAAGGUCUUGGGAUUGUAAAGCACUUUAAGUUGGGAAACAUGGCAUUAACGUAAUACGUUAGUGUUUUGGGGUUACCAACAGAAUAAGCACCGGAUAAAUGUGUCCCAGCAGCCGGGGUAAUACAGAGGGCGCAAGUUUUAAUGGGAAUUUGUGGGUAUGCAGCUCGUGUAGGUGGUUCUGUUAACGUUCGUGAUGAUGAAUCACCGGGUCUCAACCGUGCGUAAUCUGCAUCUGAAGAAGUGGCGAUACUAGAGUAGGUGCUAGAGAGGAUGAGCUGGAAUUUCGUGUGUAGCGGUGAAAUGCGUCAGAUAUACGGAGAGGAACACCAGAUGGCGAAGGCGUCUACCCUGGGGCUCAUACUGACACUGAGAGGUGCGAAAGUGUGGGGAGCAAAACAGGAUUAGAUACCCGUGGUAGUCCACGCCGUAAAACGAUGUCAACUAGCGGUUGGCAUCCUUGAGAUUUUAUUGGCGCAGCUAACGCAUUAAGUUGACCGCCUGGGGAGUACGGCCGCAAGGUUAAAACUCAAAUGAAUUGACGGGGGCCCCCACAAACGGUGGAGCAUGUGGUUUAAUUCUAAACAACGCGAAAAACCUUACCACGCCUUGAGAUGUGGACAACUUUCCAGAGAUGGAUUGGGGCCUUCUGGAACUCUGACACAAGGUGCUGCAUGGCUGUCCUCCACUCCUGGCCUGAAAAGUUGGGUUAAAUCCCGUAACCAACGCAACCCUUGUCCCUAUUUACCAACACGUUAUGGUGGGCACUCUAAGGAGACUGCCGGGGACAAACCGGAGGAAGGUGGGGAUGACGUCAAGUCAUCAUGGCCCUUACGGCCUGGGCUACACACGUGCUACAAUGGUCGGUACAGAGGGUUGCCAUACUGCGAGGUGGAGCUAAUCUCACAAAACCGGAUCGUAGUCCGGAUCGGCAGUCUGCAACUCGACC
rnacentral:rRNA from 1 species